UUUUGUUUUGUCUCUUUUUACUCGAAUCAAUCAAACCUAAGAGCUGAGUGAUAGAAAAGACCAGAGAAGUUGGUGUUUUCCUGGAAAGGAGAAGAGAAGACUUUUAAGAGCAGCAGAACCUCUCUUCAUCUCAUGAACCAUGCCACCCGUGCCUGCAAGGGUACAAGCAAAGACAUAUGUGUGCUUAGUUAAUAACCGUGUGAGAAAGAUGGAGGGCCCCCAGAAGCCUAUACGAUCCGUGGGUCAUGGGUGCAGUUAUCCAGAUGAAAAGAUGUUGAGUCUCUAUGUGGGCAACCAGUGACAACCUUCUUCCAAAUCUGGAUUCAAAAUGAAGCUAAAGAAUCAAGAAGACAAAUGGAAC
ensembl:lncRNA